GUUAGAGCAGAGAGGGCCCAAGUCAAUGGAUAUUGACCAAUAGCAGUGGGUCCUUUGGCUGUGCACACUGAAGGACUUUCAAGUCACCCCUGCCUGUCCUUCGGCUUGAUCUGGUUCUUGGUGUCUUCUCAUCCUGACCCUGCUACCUCCUCCAUGGCUCCAAGCCCCACCCCGCAUUUUCUUCAGCCCCGGGCAGAAGGCGGCUGCCACUCCACAGCCUGGACAGACAGUGCCCCCCUCAGGCCAACUUUAGCCCUGGACUGUGGCUCUUGGUGUGACAAAGACAAACACCCGUGGGAGAGAUUAGGAGGACUUGGGCAAACCUCCACUGGCAACCCCAAUUUCAGAUUCGAACUCAGGUCUCCAGAGGUGAAUGGGAAGAAAAUGGCUAAAUUAAAAUGCUAAUUACCAUCUCCA